AGGCGCGGAGUGUGUCUUCCUGCCUGCCCCGCACCCAGCUGCCCGCCGCUCACCUCACUCCCAGCCCGCUCCCCCUCUGUAUCUGUCUUGAACCGUGGGAAACGCUCUCCCUGCACCACCUCCCUUUCUUCCCCGUAAACCAAGCGUCCUGGGUGUCCCCAGGCCUCGAGAUGUCCCCCAGAGCACAGAGCAGGCAGCUGUCCUGUGGGACUCACCUGAGCAGAAUGCAGGGCCAGUGUGCGGCCACGUCUGUGUCCAGGCGGGGCCCAAGGAACUGGAGGCCAGGCCGGGGCGCAGGGCCGCUGGGAGACCAGACACAGGCCUCUCUGCCACCUGCUGGCUUCAAUGGAUGGUCAAGUGGCUGCACCUGGCUUUGUCCUGGGGGAGGGGGGGGGGAUUGUGGGAAGAGAUAGAUGGUUCAAGG